rnacentral:rRNA from 1 species
AUUGAACGCUGGCGGCAGGCCUAACACAUGCAAGUCGAGCGGAUGAAGGGAGCUUGCUCCUGGAUUCAGCGGCGGACGGGUGAGUAAUGCCUAGGAAUCUGCCUGGUAGUGGGGGAUAACGUCCGGAAACGGGCGCUAAUACCGCAUACGUCCUGAGGGAGAAAGUGGGGGAUCUUCGGACCUCACGCUAUCAGAUGAGCCUAGGUCGGAUUAGCUAGUUGGUGGGGUAAAGGCCUACCAAGGCGACGAUCCGUAACUGGUCUGAGAGGAUGAUCAGUCACACUGGAACUGAGGCACGGUCCAGACUCCUACGGGAGGCAGCAGUGGGGAAUAUUGGACAAUGGGCGAAAGCCUGAUCCAGCCAUGCCGCGUGUGUGAAGAAGGUCUUCGGAUUGUAAAGCACUUUAAGUUGGGAGGAAGGGCAGUAAGUUAACACCUUGCUGUUUUGACGUUACCAACAGAAUAAGCACCGGCUAACUUCGUG